UACUUUGUUUGUUCGAAGUUUUUUCUGGUUUUCUCGAAUCAUGUCAAACUGGCGCGGCGAUCAGGAUCCCCCUGUGGCACCUGAAGAUUUCCUCGAGCUCGUAUAUGAAGAUGAGGUCGAGAUUUCUUAUGAAGAGGGUGAAUCCGAUGGAUCAGAGAUGAUUGAAACGGACCUGGAAGACGAGUUUGAAACUUGCAACA